CAGCGGCCGCGGGAAUACGGAGGGUGCAAGCGUUAAUCGGAAUUACUGGGCGUAAAGCGCACGCAGGCGGUCUGACAAGUCAGAUGUGAAAUCCCCGGGCUUAACCUGGGAACUGCAUUUGAAACUGUCAGGCUGGAGUCUUGUAGAGGGGGGUGGAAUUCCAGGUGUAGCGGUGAAAUGCGUAGAGAUCUGGAGGAAUACCGGUGGCGAAGGCGGCCCCCUGGACAAAGACUGACGCUCAGGUGCGAAAGCGUGGGGAGCAAACAGGAUUAGAUACCCCUGUAGUCCCUGUCUCUUAUAC
rnacentral:rRNA from 1 species